ACCCUGAGACUGAGAAACCCUGAGACGUGAGGCUCGUGGAGCUGAGCGAGUUUGGGGAGAGACCUCAGCCUGUGAGCACGUUCCAUUUCUCACCUGCAUUUACCAACUGAUUUUCUCCUCUGACCAACACCACUCACUGGAAGGAGGCAAUGUCCUCAGAAGCACCGGGCCUUCCUCAGUGGACGUCUCCUGCCCGAGGAGAGGCGGGCUCCACGUCGCUCCCUGAGACGAGCCCCUGACUGACCGCCCUGCUGUGUGAGCCUGACCCACCUGCGGCCGCCUGUCUGUCUCCGUCUUCGUCGUCCGUCUUUCGGUGUGAACCGCCGGGUGGCCUUUGCCGGAGCCUAGGACCCACUAGGAACAGCCACAGCUGCGAGGUUGAGAAUGAGCCCGUCUGUCCCGCCGUCC